UUGGACAAUGGGGGCAACCCUGAUCCAGCCAUGCCGCGUGAGUGAAGAAGGCCCUCGGGUUGUAAAGCUCUUUUGUCCGGAAAGAAAAGCUUCGGGUUAAUACCCCGGGGUUCUGACGGUACCGGAAGAAUAAGCACCGGCUAACUUCGUGCCAGCAGCCGCGGUAAUACGAAGGGUGCAAGCGUUACUCGGAAUUACUGGGCGUAAAGCGUGCGUAGGUGGUUGUUUAAGUCUGAUGUGAAAGCCCUGGGCUCAACCUGGGCAUGGCAUUGGAAACUGGGCAGCUAGAGUGCGGUAGAGGGUAGUGGAAUUCCCGGUGUAGCAGUGAAAUGCGUAGAGAUCGGGAGGAACAUCUGUGGCGAAGGCGA
rnacentral:rRNA from 1 species